GAUGAACGCUGGCGGCGUGCCUAAUACAUGCAAGUCGAGCGAACGGACGAGAAGCUUGCUUUUCUGAUGUUGGCGGCGGACGGGUGAGUAACACGUGGAUAACCUACCUAUAAGACUGGGAUAACUUCGGGAAACCGGAUCUAAUACCGGAUAAUAUUUUGAUCCGCAUGGUUCAAAAGUGAAAGACGGUCUUUCUGUCACUUCUAGAUGGAUCCGCGCUGCAUUAGCUAGUUGGGAAGGUAACGUCUUACCAAGGCAACGAUGCAUAGCCGAACUGAGCGGAGGAUCGGCCACACUGGAACAGAGACACGGAACAGAGUGCUACGGGAGGAAGCAGUAGGGAAUCUUACGCAAUGGGGGAAAGCCUGACGGAGGAACGCGGCGUGAGUGAUGAAGGUCUUCGGAUGGUAAAACUCUGUUAUUAGGGAAGAAGAAAUGUGUAAGUAAAUGUGCACAUCUUGACGGUACCUAAUGAGAAAGCAACGGCUAACUACGUG
rnacentral:rRNA from 1 species